UAGCCCCUGAAUUGUUCGUGAUGAAGUAGGAAAUUUGGAGCCAACACCUCUAAAAAAUGGGAUGAUACUAGGUGUGGUGUGCAGGCCUACCUUGUAGUAGGAAGCCUAAAGCACCUGUGAUUCCCCUAAUCCUGGUUAGCCAGGGCUGCAAAUGGACUACCAACACGGCAACUCGGGGGUUUU
rnacentral:other from 1 species